CCUAUCUUAUCCUAUCCUAUUCUACAUUUUAAAUUCUAUCUCAACUCCGUCUAAUUUCAGGGGAUAUCUGGGAAUCUUCUUUCCCGAAUGGGAGGGGAAAAGAAAGGCGGAGGCUUUGGCUCUCAAUAAAAACGGCUCUCCCGCCUUUAAUUUUUUAUCGCUCCGCGGACAUCGCUUCAUGAGGGCUUCCUGAGCGAGGCGAAAGCGGGGCGCGAGCGGGAGAACCUCGGCAUGCCAACGGUAAACCGCCGAGCUCUGGAAUGGCUCUACUGGCUGAUUCUUCUUGCUACUGUAUUGAUUUCGUGGGGCUACGUCAUUUACGCAACCCGAAUAGCAGCCAAGUGGCAAUUGAAGGAGAUGUAUCCCACACAAGCCCAGAAUAUUUGAGAUAUCUCCAGAGUGGAAUACCACAGAAAUACAAGCACAUUCUAUAACACCAUAAAUAAUAAUCUGCAAAAACAUGAAUUCCCAACUGGAGCGGUUGAGCUGCACGAGUAUUAUUGAAGCUUCAGAAAUGCAGAUAAAGAUAUCAAAACAGCUGAACAUCUGAUACGCAGUACUAUUAACAUAUAACUGAGAAAAUAUUUUUGAAUACAGUUUUAAAAAAAAGAAUUUUAUGUUUUCCACUUUACUGCUUAUUUCAAUAUGUUUCAGAAGAGCAAGGCUAACUAGAUUCAAGAAAGUUUGGUUUGGUUUUCAAGUUAAAAGUUACUCUCCUACACAAUGCUUUUAAUGGUACAGAACUAAAUGCCUGAAUAUCUAUGGAAGGAUUGGCAAAAAAUGUAUAUGUGAGAAUUAUACAGUGAGAAUUUGAAGUUAAAUGGAUGAUCAAGCUAUUUGAUACUAUUCUGAAGAAAAAUCCUCAUCAUACUGCUUCUAUAAAAUCCAAGGUCAGCUACUAAAUCAGGAGUACUAAUAGAUUCAAUAGAAGUGCCAAUGCUACCUGCAAUACAUCAAAAAGUUGUCCCCAAACUACAGACCAAUUAAUCUACCUGCGAAUGUUGCAAAUGAGAGGAUUGGUUACACUUUUUCAUUGCUAUCCUAACUGAACGUUGCUGCACAAGGCAGAUGCCAGAUGAGAACUACCUGUAAAUCUACCUGUAGAUUUAGGAAGUGGUAUAUGCUCUGGUUAACUCCUGUGAUAACCUUUCAUUGCAGAUUAAUGAUAACGACAUUACCAAAAUAAUGCUAUUCACUAACAAACACAAGAGGGUAAAUUAUCACAACAUGAUCAGAGUUUAUUACAGAUAAUCUGACCCAGAAGUAUAUCAGACAAUGAUUAUUUGAUAAGAAACUAAGGCCAGUCUCAUACUACUGAUGUCUUCUUAGAAAACCAGGUAUUCAGGUAUUGGAGAACUUAAUUUGAUUUUAAUGCCUCUAGCAUUAAAUAAAAAUGAA